rnacentral:rRNA from 1 species
CACUUCUAAGGAAGGCAGCAGGCGCGCAAAUUACCCAAUCCUGACUCAGGGAGGUAGUGACAAGAAAUAACAAUAAACCGGCUUAUGCCGGUUUAAUUGGAAUGAGUACAAUUUAAACAUCUUAACGAGGAACAAUUGGAGGGCAAGUCUGGUGCCAGCAGCCGCGGUAAUUCCAGCUCCAAUAGCGUAUACUAAAGUUGUUGCAGUUAAAAAGCUCGUAGUUGGAUUUCUGUGGGGACGGAGCGGCCGGCCGCAACUCGCGGUUCGAGCUAGCGCUUUCCCUACAUCCUGCCGCGAACCGUGCUACCAUUAGUUUGGUGGCGCCGGGGAUCGGCUCGAUUACUUUGAGAAAAAUAGAGUGUUCAAAGCAGGCCACAUGCCUUGAAUAAGUUAGCAUGGAAUAAUAACUAAGGACUUCGGUUCUAUUUUGUUGGUGUUCGGGACUGAAGUAAUGAUUGAUAGGGACAGUUGGGGCGGUCUGUAUUCCAAAGCGAGAGGUGAAAUUCUUAGACCUUCGGAAGACAAACAGCUGCGAAAGCGUUCCGCAAGGAUGUUCCCUUUGAUCAAGAACGAAAGUUGGGGGAUCGAAGACGAUCAGAUACCGUCGUAGUCUCAACUAUAAACUAUACCAGCUAGGGAUCGGCCAACGUUAUUUCAAACCGACUUGGUCGGCACCUUAUGAGAAAUCAAAGCAUCUGGGUUCCGGGGGGAGUAUGGUCGCAAGGCUGAAACUUAAAGGAAUUGACGGAAGGGCACCACCAGCCGUGGAGCCUGUGGCUUAAUUUGACUCAACACGGGAAAACUUAUCAGGUCCAGACAUAGUAAGGAUUGACAGAUUGAUAGCUCUUUCUUGAUUCUGUGGGUGGUGGUGCAUGGCCGUUCUUAGUUGGUGGAGUGAUUUGUCUGGUUAAUUCCGUUAACGAACGAGACCCCAGCCUGCUAAAUAGCGCGCGUGAGCUUUGCUCGCGGCGAGCUUCUUAGAGGGACUCUGAUGCGCGAUAGCACAUGGAAGUUUGGGGCAAUAACAGGUCUGUGAUGCCCUUAGAUGUUCUGGGCCGCACACGGGCUACACUGGCGCCUGCAUCGAGCAUAUCAGCUGGCCCGAGAGGGUCUUGGCUAAUCUUUUGAACCGGCGCCGUGCUUGGGAUUGACCUUUGCAAUUGUUGGUCAUGCAACGAGGAAUGCCUUGUAAACGCGAGUCAUCAGCUCGCAUUGAAUACGUCCCUGCCCUUUGUACACACCGCCCGUCGCUCCUACCGAUGAAUGUUCCGAUGAAAUUUUCGGAGAGCACCUGUGAACUUGGCUCUGCCUUGCGAACGGGAGGCUCAAAGUCACUUAAAUCUGAACAUUU